CAAAAACAUCGCCUCUAGAUCACUUAUUAGAGGUCCAGCCUGCCCGGUGACAAAGUUUAACGGCCGCGGUAUCCUAACCGCGCGAAGGUAGCAUAAUCACUUGUUCUUUAAAUAGGGACUAGUAUCAACGGCAUCACGAAGGUUACACUGUCUCCUCCCUCCAAUCAGUGAAACUGAUCUCCCCGUGAAGAAGCGGGGAUAAAAAUAUAAGACGAGAAGACCCCAUGGAGCUUUAAGCUCAAUAACAAUUUUCUAACAACAAUCCCACCAAUCCAGAAAACCCUGAUUAUUAGCUUUAGGUUGGGGUGACCGCGGAGUAAAACACAGCCUCCACGACGAAUGGGCUUCAACCCCCUUAUCCAAGAGCCACUGCUCUAAGAAUCAUUAAUUUGACGAAAAAUGAUCCGAUCUUCGAUCAACGGACCAAGUUACC
rnacentral:rRNA from 1 species